rnacentral:rRNA from 1 species
AGUGAACGCUGGCGGUAGGCCUAACACAUGCAAGUCGAACGGCAGCACAGUAAGAGCUUGCUCUUACGGGUGGCGAGUGGCGGACGGGUGAGGAAUACAUCGGAAUCUACUUUUUCGUGGGGGUUAACGUAGGGAAACUUACGCUAAUACCGCAUACGACCUACGGGUGAAAGCAGGGGAUCUUCGGACCUUGCGCGAUUGAAUGAGCCGAUGUCGGAUUAGCUAGUUGGCGGGGUAAAGGCCCACCAAGUCGACGAUCCGUAGCUGGUCUGAGAGGAUGAUCAGCCACACUGGAACUGAGACACGGUCCAGACUCCUACGGGAGGCAGCAGUGGGGAAUAUUGGACAAUGGGCGCAAGCCUGAUCCAGCCAUACCGCGUGGGUGAAGAAGGCCUUCGGGUUGUAAAGCCCUUUUGUUGGGAAAGAAAAGCAGCAGGUUAAUACCCCGCUGUUCUGACGGUACCCAAAGAAUAAGCACCGGCUAACUUCGUG